ACCAGAUUCCCUCGAUUGUUACAUACGGCAUCAUCGUUCGGCGAGCGUUCAUUGCGUCCCGUGGAAAUUCGAACGAGCACCGUCCGCCAUGCUCGAGGAAACACACUUGCCAUACUUGAAAACAUGAGAGUUUUUUUUACUUGUGAGUGAUAUAUGAAUCAAGUAAAGAUUUACGUUAAAACUCAUUGUAACAAAUCUACCGCGAAAUGACAGUCGGUUUGGGACAUGGCCUUCGACUCAAAGUGGCCGGAGAUGGGCAACAUUUGGGCAUUUGGGCAUCCUAUUGCAGUGCAGACGUAACAUAAACAAUCGAUAUUUCUGUUCUUCGAUCAUCCAUUUUGAUAUUGAUUGAAUAUUAAUAUCGACACUCUAAAAUCGGCCAUAAUUGCCCAAUCUAUGAAAGGAGAGGAAGGUAUGAAUUUCCAUGGAAUUUACAAUGAUAUUAUUUUACUCACGUGUUGGCGAUAUAUGCAGCCUACAAAGUUGCAAUGUAUGUAAGUGAAAUUUUGUGUUAAUCGUUUAUUUGACUUUCAAUUUUCGACAUUUUUCAUUCCGUUUUUAUGUUUUCAAUCCAGUCGUGCAAAACAGAGGAUAUUAUUUUUUUUAUAUUGUUAUUAGCAAAUAAAGACGUCUAUUUUCAAUAAUAAUCUAGAGAAUACGUCAGAUAAAUAAUUAGCUAUAUAAUCAUAUCGCUAUAAACAGACUUUCUGUUGUCGCGCUUAAAUCUUGAAACUUUAAAUUGUUGCCACUGUCAAAGAAAAGUUGAAGAAUUAUAUUAACCGGCUCAAUAGAAUAAAAAUAAACAUAUUAUUUAUUCUCGGAAAUUCUUUAGACAAGUAAUAUGUAUUAUAUAUAUAUAUAUAUAUAUAUAUAUAUAUAAAAUCGCAUACAGUUACAUUAUAAAUAUACACAAUGAUAUGAAAAGCGUUCAAAACGUGUGUCUGGAUACCUAGAUAAAUAUAGAUUUGGUAACUUGUAAUAUAUUGUAUAUCUUAUCGAUUUAAACGACGCGAUUUAAAUACGUGGAGUCCUCGAUUUACGAAACUUUGUCGACAAGUUUUUAUUAAAUAAAUAUAUUGCAAAAACGGAUUGCUCUUGGUAUUUAUUGGUCAUUUAUUAUGAUACGCAGUUAACUUUAUAAAAUAUAUUAAUUUUCUCGCUUAUGUUGAAUGGCCACUCCGCGAACAAAAUUCUGCCGAAAAAACUUCAUAAAACGAGGUUUUUUGAAAGUUUAUUAACAUACAUAAGACUCAUCGUGAAUCUUCGAUCGGGACAACGUUGCGAAUAAAACAAUUGUAUAUAAUUACAAAUAAUUACAAUAUUUUGACAAAGAAAAGCAAUUGCAUAUUUCAUGUUAUGUAGGAUAAAAAAGAUCAAACUUAUUCGAGAUAAAUAGAUAUGAAAAGGCAAUUUUUAAGUCGUAGAAUUUUCUUGGAAAAUGUUUCUUGUCUUGUGUAAUAAUUCGUAACUGCGGAUUCUUACGAUCAUCUCUCAGCUCAGUCGAAGGUUAAUUCGCGGUUGGCCAUAUAAGAAAGUUCAACGAUCUCAUUAUUUCCACAAUUGU